CUACUUCGUUCCUUAUAUAUAGUAGGAAGGUAAAUUACUUUCAUCCUUACUACACCUCCCUUACAAAAAAACGUUAUCAAGUUAAUCACCAAAGAACCAUGGACCUCACGUAUUUUCAAGUUCAGUAUAGUUCCUCCCAAGACCUUUUAUUGAAUAGCUAAAAGGUAAAGCCUCCCAUCCCUCAUUAUCAAACCAACGAAUCACUGCCAAAACAGAGAAUAACGAACACAAAUGAAAUAAGAAUCAGAUAGCAAACCAAGUUUAAGUCCAUUUUGACAUUGAAUAACAGGGGAUAAAGAAUUAGACAAACAGGCAACCAUAUAUCAUUUGAAGCAGAGUGGGAUAGAAGAGAUGACCUUAGAUAUACAUUUUCCAAAUGAAAUCUGAAAACGUUUAACAGAACUCGACGGAACCGCGAUAGAAUUUAGCAACGGACCUCGACACCUCGGAUUUGCUAACGGACAGCUCGAAACCCAAAUACGACCUCAAUCAAACUCCAUGAGCCGAGAUCGAAACAGAAGUCGAAACUUUAUGUAUGAACAAACUCAACCAGAAGCUUUGGAAGAAUAAAAAUCAGAAGCAAAACCAAAGCCCCCAGCUUUCUUUAGUUCUGCGUGUGUGUUUACCGGCAGCAGGGAUCUAAGCGACAGCCAUGUCUCUCCACAAUAGAGAGAGUUUGGAGAUGAAGGGUGAGGCAGCGGCUCGUUCUAGCCUUGGAGCUCGUCGGUGAGUUGAGCUCAGGCACGAGAGGCGACCACCUCCAUUUUAAGAGAGACGGGAGAGCUUGGAGGCUAUUUUCAUCAGAGAGGAGGAAUCGAGUUUUUGGGGAGGCCCUUAGGAGAUGUAGGAUUAGCGUUUUUCUUUGGGGGAGGGAGGGUCCUCGGGGUUC
rnacentral:lncRNA from 1 species